rnacentral:rRNA from 1 species
AUUGAACGCUGGCGGCAGGCUUAACCCAUGCAAGUCGAGCGGAGAUGAGGUGCUUGCACCUUAUCUUAGCGGCGGACGGGUGAGUAAUGCUUAGGAAUCUGCCUAUUAGUGGGGUACAACAUUCCUAAAGGAAUGCUAAUCCCGCAUACGUCCUACGGUAAAAAGUAGGGGAUCUUCGGACCUGGCGCUAUUUGGUGAUCCUAAGUCGGAUUAGCUAGUUGGUGGGGUAAAGGUCUACCAAGGCGAAGAUCUGUUGCGGGUCUGAGAGGAUGAUCCGCCACACUGGGACUGAGACACGGCCCAGACUCCUUGGGGAGGCAGCAGUGGGGAAUAUUGGACAAUGGGGGGGACCCUGAUCCAGCCAUGCCGCGUGUGUGAAGAAGGCCUUAUGGUUGUAAGGCACUUUAAGCGAGGAGGAGGCUACUGAGACUAAUACUCUUGGAUAGUGGACGUUACUCGCAGAAUAAGCACCGGCUAACUCUGUGCCAGCAGCCGCAGUAA